rnacentral:rRNA from 1 species
UGCAGUCGAGCGGUAACAGAUCCAGCUUGCUGGAUGCUGACGAGCGGCGGACGGGUGAGUAAUGCAUAGGAAUCUGCCCGAUAGUGGGGGAUAACCUGGGGAAACCCAGGCUAAUACCGCAUACGUCCUACGGGAGAAAGGGGGCUCCGGCUCCCGCUAUGGGAUGAGCCUAUGUCGGAUUAGCUAGUUGGUGAGGUAACGGCUCACCAAGGCCACGAUCCGUAGCUGGUCUGAGAGGAUGAUCAGCCACAUCGGGACUGAGACACGGCCCGAACUCCUACGGGAGGCAGCAGUGGGGAAUAUUGGACAAUGGGCGCAAGCCUGAUCCAGCCAUGCCGCGUGUGUGAAGAAGGCCCUCGGGUUGUAAAGCACUUUCACCGA